UACGGAGGGUGCAAGCGUUAUCCGGAUUCACUGGGCUUAAAGGGCGCGUAGGCGGGUAGGUAAGUCCGGGGUGAAAUCUCUGAGCUUAACUCAGAAACUGCCGUGGAUACUAUUUGCCUUGAAUAUUGUGGAGGUGAGCGGAAUAUGUCAUGUAGCGGUGAAAUGCUUAGAUAUGACAUAGAACACCAAUUGCGAAGGCAGCUCACUGCACAAUCAUUGACGCUGAGGCACGAAAGCGUGGGGAUCAAACAGG
rnacentral:rRNA from 1 species